UACGAGGGGGGCAAGCGUUGUUCGGAAUUAUUGGGCGUAAAGGGCGCGUAGGCGGUUUGGCAAGUUUGGUGUGAAAUCUUCGGGCUCAACUCGAAGUCUGCAUCGAAAACUGCCGGGCUUGAGUAUGGGAGAGGUGAGUGGAAUUUCCGGUGUAGCGGUGAAAUGCGUAGAUAUCGGAAGGAACACCUGUGGCGAAAGCGGCUCACUGGACCAUAGCUGACGCUGAGGCGCGAAAGCUAGGGGAGCAAACAGG
rnacentral:rRNA from 1 species